AUUGAACGCUGGCGGCAGGCCUAACACAUGCAAGUCGUGCGAGCGGCGGAUGGGUGAGGAAUGUAUGGCGACUGCCCGAUAGAGGGGGCUAACUACUGGACACGGUAGCUAAUCACGCAUACUAUCGGAUUACCCAUAUUGGACUAGCUAGUAGGUGGGGUACUGGCCCACCUAGGCGACGAUCCCUAGCUGGUCUGAGAGGACGAUCAGCCACACUGGAACUGAGACACGGCCCAGACUCCUACGGAGGCAGCAGUGGGGAAUAUUGCACAAUGGGCGAAAGCCUGAUGCAGCCAUGCCGCGUGUAUGAAGAAGGCCCGAGGAUUGUAAAGUACUUUCAGUCGGGAGGCGUUACCGACAGAAGAAGCACCGGCUAACUCCGUGCCAGCAGCCGCGGUAAUUC
rnacentral:rRNA from 1 species